ensembl:lncRNA
UGUGUUGACACAAGGAAGGGGAAAAUACAUGUCUCCCCCAGACAGAAUUAUCCACUUCACAGGCAACAGACGUUCUCUGCAGGUAGACAGGCAGUCUGAAGCGCCUCACAAACUGGCAAUGGAUUGCCCAUGUGCUGCCACUGCUAAACCAAAAUUUCCCCAUAAGGGUGCCCCACCUGACUGCACUCACUCCCAUUACAAGUGAUGCCAAUCAGUGAAAAGGACUGGCAUCGUUACCCUUCUAGGAGUGAAAAAAAGAAAAAGGAAAGAGGAAAGUGAGAAUUAAAGCAAGACUGUGCAACUGCCAUUUUCCACGCGCUCUGCCCCUCCACGUGUCUAUCUGUGGCUGUCGCUCUCUCUGUUGUGAGCGUUAGUUGACAAUGUCUGCACUCAGCACACCCCAAAUAAAGUGCGUUGUGACAGAAACAUUAACACAAGCCACUGAGUACCUCUGUGAUUUUAGUGAGAGCAUAUCUGUCAGCCAGGCCUGGAGGAGUAAAAAGCAUACAUCUGAACUUUCAGCGACUGGUGUUUGGGUGGAGGAUUGUGACAGUCAACAUCAAAACAGUAAAAGUAAAG